rnacentral:lncRNA from 1 species
CACCCAGAGAGUAGGAUACUGCUUGGGCACCACCUUACAGAUAAGCUCCAUUAUGCUUUACACCCAGCAGGUAAGCUACUACAUUAUAGCUAAUGGCUCAUACAGAAGAAUCAGAAAGCAUGAAACCAGCACAACAUGAUGAGCAGUAAAGUCAUAGAUCCUCAAGAGUUAUCCAGAUAAGCCCUCUAUGAUCACCAUUAACACUUCUUAGAAGUUAGUUAGAAGACUUUGCAACAUCACUU